GACCUUAGUUCAGUGGUAGAGCAUCUGUUUUGCAUGCAGAAGACCUCCAGUUCAAUCCCUGACAUCUCCA